rnacentral:lncRNA from 1 species
AUUGGUGGUCCAAAUGGUUAUCUAGCCUAGAGGCAAGAGUUUGAGUUUGGUUUGGGAUCUUGCAUGUUUAUGGGUACCCUGUGUAAGCUUAAUCUUGUUUGUGCAGGUCAAGCAAGAUCCACAAUAUGUUGAGGUCCUUGGUCUUCAUCAUUUGGAAGAUGCAUAGUUGAUGUUGUUGUUGAAAUGAUCAAUAGGGGUGCUUAUUUUGAGUUGUUGGUUCAAACCACAAGGACAUGGAGAAUUCCCUUCUCACUCUCUUGUGUCACAUGUCCGCCACUUUGUGCACCCUACGGAGAUAAAGCACUUUUACUAAUGAAGCAGAACAUAACACAAAAAGAUGUUAAG